rnacentral:rRNA from 1 species
UACGUAGGGUGCGAGCGUUAAUCGGAAUUACUGGGCGUAAAGCGUGCGCAGGCGGUGAUGUAAGACAGAUGUGAAAUCCCCGGGCUCAACCUGGGAACUGCAUUUGUGACUGCAUAGCUAGAGUACGGUAGAGGGGGAUGGAAUUCCGCGUGUAGCAGUGAAAUGCGUAGAUAUGCGGAGGAACACCAGCGGCGAAGGCGGG